UAUAUUUUGAAACGCGAGAGGGCGCAAGGUUACAGCUUUUCGUUUAAAUACUUCACUAAUUGAUUCAAUAUAUUUCAUAAAUAAUUUUGUUUUAAGAUAGUUUUAGGAUUUAAAAAAGCCCACCCACAAAGUAUAUAUUAAAGUCACUGGACAACAUUAUUGAUGUGCAUAUUCCUGUAAUAAUGGUAAACAUUUAGAAAAGUUUUUUUUUCGUGUGUAGGCCUACUAUGUAGGCUAUCACUUUUUUCAUAUUUGCAAUAUAACGUAAUGGAAUUCAUAAUGACAUCGCAAAAUCAUCGUUUAAGAAGUGACGUCAACAUUUUGCAGGGAAGCAACAUUGAAAACAACAACACAGGAUGUUGACGGAUCACCGUAAACUGUUAGUGCAUGCAGAAAAAUUCUUCGGCCACAGAAAAUAUAACAGCAUACGGGUUGGGAAAGACACGUGGUCGGUCCAUCAGUCACAUGUCUGACGUGAACUCCCAUCCCAAUCUCCCCUCAUCCUUCAACCUGACAGCCAUGACAGCCAAUCCCAUUCUUGAUUGGGCUGAGACUCGAAAGGAAACAGACGAAUGGAGACCAUCACCCUUUCUGGCGCUGAGACACGCUAUCUGUAAAUCAAUGAUACCCAUUCCACAUUCAAAACCUGCUGGACAGACAGAGAGACACACACCCGCAACAAAAAGUCAAAGCAACAUCAACCAGAAGAUUUACAGUCUUGCACAACUGCUUUCCCCAUCCCGGUGAAGACUAUGUGCACUUAAACCUUCAAGCGUUUGGUGAUUUAUUCAGGAUGCUCACAAGAACAAUCCAUAGAUGUUAUGGGAAAAGAAACAUAGUUACUUAUGAGACAUUAGUAGUCUAGAAACUAAACUAUAC